AGUGAACGCUGGCGGUAGGCCUAACACAUGCAAGUCGAACGGCAGCACAGUAAGAGCUUGCUCUUACGGGUGGCGAGUGGCGGACGGGUGAGGAAUACAUCGGAAUCUACUUUUUCGUGGGGGAUAACGUAGGGAAACUAACGCUAAUACCGCAUACGACCUACGGGUGAAAGCAGGGGAUCUUCGGACCUUGCGCGAUUGAAUGAGCCGAUGUCGGAUUAGCUAGUUGGCGGGGUAAAGGCCCACCAAGGCGACGAUCCGUAGCUGGUGUGAGAGGAUGAUCAGCCACACUGAGACUGGGACACGGUCCAGACUCCGACGGGAGGCAGCAGUGGGGAAUAUUGGACAAUGGGCGCAAGCCUGAUCCAGCCAUACCGCGUGGGUGAAGAAGGCCUUCGGGUUGUAAAGCCCUUUUGUUGUGAAAGAAAAGCAGCAGGUUAAUACCCCGCUGUUCUGACGGUACCCAAAGAAUAAGCACCGGCUAACUUCGUG
rnacentral:rRNA from 1 species